UAGGGAAUCUUCCGCAAUGGACGAAAGUCUGACGGAGCGACGCCGCGUGAGUGAUGAAGGUUUUCGGAUCGUAAAACUCUGUUGUUAGGGAAGAACAAGUACCGUUCGAAUAGGGCGGUACCUUGACGGUACCUAACCAGAAAGCCACGGCUAACUACGUGCCAGCAGCCGCGGUAAUACGUAGGUGGCAAGCGUUGUCCGGAAUUAUUGGGCGUAAAGCGCGCGCAGGUGGUUUUCUUAAGUCUGAUGUGAAAGCCCACGGCUCAACCGUGGUGGGUCAUUGGAAACUGGGGAACUUGAGUGCAGAAGAGGAAAGUGGAAUUCCAAGUGUAGCGGUGAAAUGCGUAGAUAUUUGGAGGAACACCAGUGGCGAAGGCGACUUCUGGUCUGUAACUGACAACUGAGGCGCGAAAGCGUGGGGAGGCAAACAGGAUUAGAUACCCUGGUGGUCACGCCGUAAACGAUGAGUGCUAAGUGUUAGAGGUUUCCGGCCCUUAGUGCUGCAGCUAA
rnacentral:rRNA from 1 species